rnacentral:rRNA from 1 species
AUACGGAGGGGGUUAGCGUUGUUCGGAAUUACUGGGCGUAAAGCGCACGUAGGCGGACUGGAAAGUUGGGGGUGAAAUCCCGGGGCUCAACCCCGGAACUGCCUCCAAAACUUCCAAUCUAGAGAUCGAGAGAGGUAAGUGGAAUUCCUAGUGUAGAGGUGAAAUUCGUAGAUAUUAGGAGGAACACCAGUGGCGAAGGCGGCUUACUGGACCAACACUGACGCUGAGGUGCGAAAGCGUGGGGAGCAAACAGGAUUAGAAACCCUAGUAGUCC